CGGGGGACCCUGCGAAGUGGAGGAGGGCGCGGGCGGCGUGUGCCUCAACGGCGGGGUGUGCUCGGUGGUGGACGACCGCGCUGUGUGCGACUGCUCGCGGACUGGCUUCCGCGGCGAGGACUGCAGCCAAGAAGACAACAAUGUGGAAGGUCUGGCGCACCUGAUGAUGGGCGACCAAGGUAUGGGCUCUGUUCCUUUUCCACUCUGCUUCAGUGUCUUGUUCUGUAGCUGCUUUCCAGCCAUCUCUGCAAAGGAUGGGCACAUGCUUGCAAAUUUUCUGGCUGCAAAAUAAAUACAUAGCUUCUGUUCACAUUGUCUGAUGUUUUUUCCUCGCUUUGAUUUUGUGGUUUGAUUUUGGUUUGCUCCUGUGACUUUUAU
rnacentral:lncRNA from 1 species